rnacentral:rRNA from 1 species
UACGUAGGGGGCAAGCGUUGUCCGGAUUUAUUGGGCGUAAAAGGCUUGUAGGUGGCCACGCCAAGUCGGAUGUGAAAUCUCCCGGCUCAACUGGGAGGGGUCAUUCGAUACUGGCGGGCUCGAGGCCGGUAGGGGGAAGUGGAAUUCCCGGUGUAGUGGUGGAAUGCGUAGAUAUCGGGAGGAACACCAGUGGCGAAGGCGGCUCACUGGCCCGGUACUGACGCUGAGGUGCGAAAGCGUGGGGAGCAAACAGG